rnacentral:rRNA from 1 species
CAGCCGCCGCGGUAAUACGAGGGGUGCAAGCGUUAUUCGGAUUGAUUGGGUGUAAAGGGUGUGCAGACGGCUUAUUAAGUCACUUGUUAAAUUCUUCGGCCUAACUGAAGGUCUGCAAGUGAUACUGAUGAGCUAGAGGGUGGAAGAGAGAAGUGGAAUUCUCGGAGUAGCGGUAAAAUGCGUAGAUCUCGAGAGGAACACCAAUGGCGAAGGCAGCUUCUUGGUCCAUUCCUGACGUUCAUACACGAAAGCGUGGGGAGCAGACAGGAUUAGAUACCCGCGUAGUCCCUGUCUCUUAUAC